AGCAGCAGCGGGGCGGGCUUCAGGCUCUGCGGAGUCGAGCAUGUCGUCCGCAGCGGUUACCGGUACUUUCUAACCCUAACCACGGUGGUUAUGUCAAAGUAAGCGACUGAAAGCCUUUUUGUAUUUCACCGGUGUUUCCGACCGCGGAAACUGGAUAUACUAAAGUUACAACUGGUUAACUUCCCCCGGAGUCAGAGCACCAGCAAAUAUCCUACACCUACAGGAUUGUGAUUCUCCACUGCGCAGCUGUAGAUGUCAUCAUCUCCCAUCAACACUCGUGUGAUGGUCAAGAACUUCUGGUCAGGGGACAACACGAACCUCGUCAUAUUGGUCAGCGGCUUUCCACCUUUGAACCACCUGUAUGUAGUCCUGGUUCCAUUGUCGUGGGAGCAGUUGAGGACGACGUUUUCGCUGAGCUCCAGGACUGACAAAGCCUCCAUGUGGAUAUAGGGCCUGGAUAUAGACUCUGAAUAUAGUGAGCGUGAUGCUGCCCUCUCCUGUAAAGGUAUCAUCUGUGAUGGAGAUCUCCACGUCAUAAAUUCCGUCAUCAGAGAUUCUGAGGUUGUGGAGAAGCAGAGUCCCAUUCUCAAAUACCAGGAUGCGGUCACGAUACUCGGGCCUCAGGGUCCCAAUGAUGUCAGUUCCAAUCGACUGGACAACAGUGACGGACUUUUCUCUCUUGAGCUGCCACUUGAUGACCGGCAGGUCGAGGCUGAAGCUAUUGUAACGGACAGACAGCAGGGCCUCCCCCCCUAGUGUUCCUCUAAUGAGAGUGUUGGGGAUAGUCAUAUUCACUGCCAGCACCCCACCUGCAGACAAACACAGGAGAGAAACUAUGUUAGAUUUCAGGGUUUCCCCCAUAAAAGUUGUUAAGCCCAGUGGCAAGUGUCUUUUUGUGAUGAGGGCCCGGCUGGAGCCAGUCCCAGACUGAUGGCAGCAUUAAUGUAGAGUCCAAUAGUUUCUGUAAUAACAGAAUCAUUGACAGAAUUGCGAAAUUGA